rnacentral:siRNA from 1 species
GCAGCUUCGUCUCCUUGCGCCA